rnacentral:rRNA from 1 species
CGUGCAAGUCGCACGCGAAAGUCUUCGGACGAGUAGAGUGGCGCACGGGUGAGUAACACGGAGGUAAUGUACCUCUUCGCUGGGGAUAACUCCGGGAAACCGGAGCUAAUACCGAAUGAUCUGUUGGAGUCUGCGGACAUCAACGGUAAAGCCUUACGGCGCGAAGAGAUCAGGCUGCGGUCUAUUAGCUAGUUGGUGGGGUAAUGGCCUACCAAGGCGACGAUAGAUAGCUGGUCUGAGAGGAUGAUCAGCCACACUGGAACUGAAACACGGUCCAGACUCCCACGGGAGGCAGCAGUUGGGAAUUUUGGACAAUGGGCGUAAGCCUGAUCCAGCAAUCCCGCGUGAGUGAUGAAGGUCUUCGGAUCGUAAAGCUCUUUUAGUUGGGACGAAGGGCAACUUGACUGUACCAACAGAAAAAGCACCGGCUAACUCUGUGCCAGCAGCCGCGGUAAUACAGAGGGUGCAAGCGUUGUUCGGAAUUAUUGGGCGUAAAGCGCGUGUAGGUGGUUUACUAAGUCUGGUGUGAAAGCCCGGGGCUCAACCCCGGAAGUGCACUGGAUACUGGUAAGCUAGAGGACGGGAGAGGAUGGUAGAAUUCCUGGUGUAGGGGUGAAAUCCGUAGAUAUCAGGAGGAACAUCGGUGGCGAAGGCGGCCAUCUGGCCCGUUUCUGACACUCAGACGCGAAAGCGUGGGGAGCAAACAGGAUUAGAUACCCUGGUAGUCCACGCCCUAAAACGAUGAGUACUAGUUGUUGGGAUUCCUAAUUGUCUCAGUAACGAAGCUAACGCAUUAAGUACUCCGCCUGGGGAGUACGGUCGCAAGAUUAAAACUCAAAGGAAUUGACGGGGGCCCGCACAAGCGGUGGAGCAUGUGGUUUAAUUCGAUGCUACGCGAAAAACCUUACCCAGACUUGACAUCCCGGGCUAUCCCUAGAAAUAGGGAGUCUCUUCGGAGACCCGGUGAGGGGGUGCUGCAUGGGUGUCGUCAGCUCGGGUCGUGA